AUUGAACGCUGGCGGCAUGCCUAACACAUGCAAGUCGAACGCGCGGCGGGCGGGUGAGUAAUGUAUAGGAAACCGUGUGCUGGAGGGGGAUAACUACUGGAAACGGUAUCUAAAACCGCAUACAAUACGAUUUGCCCCGAUGGGAUUAGCUAGUGGGGGGGGUAACGGCUCACCUAGGGGACGAACCCUAGCUGGUCUGAGAGGAUGACCAGCCACACUGGGACUGAGACACGGUCCAGACUCCUACGGGAGGCAGCAGUGGGGAAUAUUGGACAAUGGGCGAAAGCCUGAUGCAGCAAUGCCGCGUGUGUGAAGAAGGCCUUCGGGUUGUAAAGCACUUUUGGCAGGGAGGCGUUACCUGCAGAAGAAGCACCGGCUAACUACGUGCCAGCCGCCGCGGUAAUAC
rnacentral:rRNA from 1 species